ensembl:ncRNA T07D1.11 ncRNA
GUUUGCAUACCAGUCGGCGUACAAAACAACCAGUUAUUGAUGAUGAGUUGUCAUCGGCCCCCCCCCCCCCUCUCCUCUCUUAUAGCACUAACCUAUAGUGAAGUGUCAAACCGGUACGGCUUUCGUGUUCGCAGUAGAAUGACGGAGGUU